AAUGAUCUUUUAUUGGUACUUGUAUUGGUAUUCGGCGUAUUCAGGCCGUCCUGCUACAUAAUCUAGGAUCCUUUCACCUGCUCUCUCACCAUGAACUUCGGUUCCAACUUGGAAACCUCCUCCAAAGGCUGUCAUUGCCACCAAAAGUACGGCUGUGGAGAGAAAGAGAGGCCAAAAGAAUGCUAGAAUACUUAGAAACCGGGGCGCUGCAUAUACGAACAAUGACAUAACCACUGAAACUGCUGCUACAACAGUUAGCUGGUCUUUGUGUUGGAGAACCUUUGUUUGAAUGACCUGAAUGUCCAUGGAGAAAGACAGAGAGAGAGAGAUAGAGAAAAUGGCUGUGAGAGAUGAUUGUUAUGAGUCCUUUUUCUUUUCUUGUAAGAUGGUAUUUAUAAGUGACGAGUUUCAAAAGUUCUCAAACUUUGCUUGGCCGAUCAGUUUCUCAUUUUUUUUUUCUCAAGAUGCCAUAGUUUUGAUGUGAAAAUACUGAAAUGCCCUUGUACAGGUAGCAAUAUUUUGGCGGGGGAGAUGAAGUAAGAAGGGGGUUAAUUAGUCAUAAGACAAGAAACAAAUGGAAACGUGAUGAGAUUGUUGUCCAUUUGCUUGAUUGGUCGGUUACUUUGUCCUUUUAGAACUGAUCACAUUUUUUUUUUCCAUAUGGAUUGCAGGGUAUGAUCAAGGAAAAGAAUGGAAUCUUUUCUUUUUCUAAUCCUUUGCUCAAUCAAAGAACAAUUCAGAACAAUAAGCAAUCCGAUUAUCCUGCGGUUACAUCGACCGAGAAGGAUUGGAUUAGCAAUGGGUUGUUCUCCAUUGAUGAAAAGCUUCAAUUAUAAUGCUCUAAACCAUGUGGCUUGUGAAUAUUGAUGUUGUGGGUGGAUAAUAAUAAUGUGAUGAAAUCCUUUUCUAUAUAGAGGGUUUUUAGGAUAAGGUAUUAUUAAAAAUUGUAAUCAUUGGAUAUUGAGGAAUAUAGAGUUGUUGGAGAGUAAAAAAGAAUUCUAAAAGAAGACGCUGAUUGAUGCAUUGAACUUCAAACAAAAAUGUUUAAUAAGUUCACAACUGUCUUAUAAGUUUCGGGCAUAUAUAUUUAAAGCAUAUUGUUUUUUACUAUGAAUUCUUGAAUUUACUUUCAAUCGAACAUUUUUCGAGAACCGGAA